GCUUUCUCCCCUGUUCGCAGCAGGGGGUUAAGCGAGCGCCGCCAGGGACCCCAAGACCCUGGUGGCGCUCAUUUCUUUGCGGU
rnacentral:antisense_RNA from 1 species